ensembl:lncRNA JPX JPX transcript, XIST activator
GGAAGACUUAAGAUGGCGGCGUUUGCACGGAGUGCAAUCACUGCGUCCUUACGGGGGUUGCAAGGCGUCCGAAGUAUGAGUCCACUAACAAAAGUCCAGAAACUCGCCAGUUAAUAGUAUUGUGUCUCUUCAAAAUAUCGGAGAAUAAUUUCUUUCUCGCUGAUCGCCUAACUUCUACUGACGAAGCUUGGAAGUUGCAGAAGGUUGGAGUGCAAUGGCGCGAUCUCGGCUGACUGCAACCUCCACCUCCUGGAUUCAAGCUAUUCUCCUGCCUCAGCCUGCCGAGUAGCUGGGAUUACAGGCAUGUGCCACCGCACCCAGCUAAUUUUGUAUUUUUUAGUAGAGAUGGGGUUUCUCCAUGUUGGUCAGGCUGGUCUUGAACUCCUGACCUCAGGUGAUCCGCCCACCUCAGCCUCCCAAAGUGCUGGGAUUACAGGCGUGAGCCACCGCGCCCGGCCAGAACAUUAGUUUUAAACUUCCUAACCCUUGGGAGAAGGCAAAACACUUGAUGAAAUCUACAUAAAGACUAAAACAUUUUACCAAUUUUGCAUUGUUUGUUUGAAAUUGCAUUGACGACUGACAUGAUGUAUUGAGUAAAAGGAACUUCGGUACACAGGCCUUUAGUGAUGUGGUGGUAAGAUGUAUGGUACUGGCUCCUGUAUCACCCAGCUCUGGAGUUGAAAGAGCUCUUCAUUCCUGAGUCUCCUGUACCACUGAGAAUAGGCUGGAGUGCAGUGGCGCAAUCUCGGCUCUCUGCAACCUUCACCUCCCGUGUUCAAGUGAUUCUCCUGCCUCAGCCUCCUGAAUACCUGAGAUUACAAGCAUGCACCACCACGCCCGUCUAAUUUUGUAUUUUCACUAGAGACGGGGUUUCUCCAUGUUGGUCAGGCUGGUCUCGAACUCCCGACCUCAGGUGAUCCGCCCGCCUCAGCCUCCCAAAGUGCUGGGAUUACAGGCAUGAGCCACCGCGUCCAGCAAGAAUAGGUGAUUUUCAAACUUGGAAACAUUCAGAAGUUAUCGCCUCAGUUUCAGAUUGAGUAGUCUCAAAGAGAUUACAGACAUCUACCACAAAUUCUCUACUUGGUGUGGUGCAAAAUCAGUAUGAUGUAAACUUUGUCUCUCAGUUUCUUCAAAGGAAAGAAGCAACUGGAACACACAUAUAACACUAACCCUUCCAGCUGCAUUAUGAGGGACCAGUACCUGUCUCAAGGCAAAAUUAUGACUUAGUUCAUCCUCACCUCUGGAGGCCAGUAAAAGUGGGUUAUAGAAGAACAAAGAGGCAUCUAGAUCUUUCACUGGGUUAUUUGGAGAGAAACAUCUCCUACCGAAGGCCAGUUUAACAAGACUGGUAGAGGAGGUUAUCUUAUCUAAUUCACAGAAAUCAACACAUUGAGUCAAGAAAAAUGAAACACAGAAACACUCUAAAUAAAAGAAGAUAAGUCUUCAGAAACCAACCCUAAUGAAAUGAAGAUAUGUGAUUAACCUGACAGGAAAUUAAAAAGAGCAACCAUAAAGAGUCUCAUGGGAGCAAUGCAUGAACAAACUGAGAAUUUUCAUAAAGAAAUAAAAGAUAACAAAAAGUAUAAAGUUGAAGAAUACAAUAACUGGACUCAAAAAUUUAAUGUGUCCAACAGAAGAAUCGAUGAAGCAGAAGAAAGGGCUAUCAAACUUGUAGAUAGGCCAUUGGAAAUCAUGUAAUGUGAGGAGAAAAAAGAAAAAAGAUUGAAGAUAGUUUAAGAGACUUUUGAGACAUCCUCAAAGGGGAAUAAUUUAUACAUUACCAGAUGGAGAAGAUAGAGGGAAAAGGACAGAAAACAUAUUUGAAGAAAUAAUGUCAGAAAACCUCAUAAUUCUGGCAAGGAAAUAGAAAUUUAGAUCUAAGAAUCUCGAACAUCAGGUAUGAUGAAUCCAAGGAGACUCACACCAAACCAUAUUGUAAUUAAAUAAAGGUUAAAGACAAUCUUCAGAGCAGCAAGGGAAUAGUCUCUUCUUACAUACAAAAUGAUCCACGGAAGACUGUCAGCAGACUUCACCAGAAAACUUUCACGCCAGAAGGCAGUCGUGAUAUAUACAAAAAGCUGAAAGGAAAACACUGCCAUCCAGGAAUACUAUCUCCAACUAUCCUGUGUUUCAAAAAUUAAGGAGAAAUAUAAAGUUCUCAAACAAAAGAUGUGGGAGUUUACCACCACUAGACCUGCACGGGAAGAAUUGCUAAAGGGAGUCCUUCAAGCUGUAGUAAAAGAGUGCUAAUUAGAAACAUGAAAACAAAUACAAAAAAAAUUCUAAAACUUGUAUGGAACUACAAAAGACAUUAAAUAAUCAAAGUAAUCUUGAGCAACAAGGACACAGCUGGAGGCAUCACUCUACCUGAUUUUGUAAUCCAUUAUCAAAAAACUGUGGUACCAGCAUAAAAACAGAUUCACUGACCAGUGGAACAGGAAAGCCCAGACAUAACUCAUACAUUUCCAUCCAAUUGAUUUUUGACAAAAGUGGCACACAGAAUGGGGAGAGGACAAAUAAAUAAAUAAAUUGUUUUGAGAUAUCUGUAUAUCUAUAUGUGAAAUUGAACCAUUUUCUCAUAGCAUAUAGAAAAAUCAACUCAAAAUGGAUUAAAGCCUGAAAUGUUGCCUUUGAAACUGUAAAACUACUAGUAGAAAAUAUAGGGGAAAAGCUCUAUGAUGUUGUUCUGGGCAAUGAUUUCUUGGAUACAUCCUUAAAAGCAUGGGCAGCAAAAACAGCCAGACAACUAUCAGGGAACCUGCCCAGAUAGUCACAUAGGUUCUUUUCUAUUUUCCCUAAGCAUUGGCCGGGUUGAGAAAUAAAGGGACAGAGUACAAAAGAGAGAAAUUUUAAAGCUGGGCAUCCUGGGGAGACAUCACAUGUCGGUAGGUUCCGUGAUGCCCCCUGAGCCGUAAAACCAGUAAGUUUUUAUUAGGGAUUUUCAAAGGGGAGGGAGUAUACGAAUAGGAGGUGGGUCACAGAGAUCACGUGCUUCACAAGGUAAUAGAAUAUCACAAGGCAAAUGGAGGCAGGGCGAGAUCACAGGACCACAGGACUGGGUUGAAAUUAAAAUUGCUAAUGAAGUUUCGGGCACCAUCGUCAUUGAUAACAUCUUAUCAGGAGACAGGGUUUGAGAGCAACCUGUCUGACCAAAAUUUAUUAGGUGGGAAUUUCCUCGUCCUAAUAAGCCUGGGAGCGCUAUGGGAGACUGGGGCUUAUUUCAUCCCUACAGUCUCGACCAUAGAAGACAGCUACACCCAAGGGGGCCAUUUUAGAGGCCCACCCUCAGGGGCACAUUCUCUUUCUCAGGGAUGUUCCUUGCUGAGAAAAAGAAUUCGGCGAUAUUUCUCCCAUUUGCUUUUGAAAGAAGAGAAAUAUGGCUCUGUUCCGCCUGGCUCACCGGCGGUCAGAGUUUAAGGUUAUCUCUCUUAUUCCCUGAACAUUGCUGUUAUCCUGUUCUUUUUUCAAGGUGCCUAGAUUUCAUAUUGUUUAAACACACAUGCUCUACAAUUUCUGCACUUAACACAAUUAUCACAGGGUCCUGAGGCGACAUACGUCCUCCUCGGCUUACGAGAUGACAGGAUUAAGAGAUUAAAACAGGCAUAGGAAAUCACAAGGGUAUUGAUUGGGGAAGUGAUAAGUGUCCAUGAAAUCUUCACAAUUUAUGUUUAGAGAUUGCAGUAAAGACAGGCAUAAGAAAUUAUAAAAGUAUUAAUUUGGGGAACUAAUAAAUGUCCAUGAAAUCUUCACGAUCCACGUUCUUCCGCCAUGGCUUCAGCCAGUCCCUCCGUUUGGGGUCCCUGACUUCCCGCAACAGACAACUUGAGUUGCAUCAAACUAAAAAGCAUCUGCACUGCAAAGGGUACAGUUAACAGAAUGAAGACACGGGUUUUGAGAAACCAUUUUCAAAUCAUAUAUCUGAUAAGGGGCUAAUAUCCAAAAUGUAUUAAGAAACCCAAGCCCAAUAGCAAGAAAACAACUGUCUUUAAAAGGGGGAAAAGGACCUCAACUUAAAUUUUUCAGAGGAAGACAUGAGUGGCCAAUUGAUUGAUACAUGAAAAAAAUGCUCAACAUCUCUAAUCAUUAGUGAGUUGCAAAUCAAAACUGCAAGAUAUUACCUUACACCUUUUAGAAUGGCUAUUAUUAAAAGGAUGAAAGACAGGUGCUGGCAAGGAUGUGGAUAAAAGGAAGUCCCAACAUUCUGUUAGUGGGAAUAUAAAUUAGUAUAGCCAAUUUAGGAAACUAUAUGGUGGUUCCUUAAGAAACUAAAAGUACAAUUACUAUAUGAUCUAGCAAUCUCUACUUAGGUAUAUAUCCAAAGGAAUUGAAGCAGUAUGUUGAGAUCUUGCACUCCCUUAUUUUGAAAUUAUUUACAAAGCUAAUAAAUGGAAAAGACUUAAGUUUUCAUAACAGAUGAAUGGACAUAGAAGAUGUGUUGUAUAUACAUAUUGGAAUAUUUUUUAUCCUUGGAAAAGAAGGAAAAUUGUCAUUUGUGACAACAUGGAUGAAUCUGUAGUAUACUAUGCUAAGUGUUGUAAGACAGGCACAGAGAGGCAAAUACUACAUUAUAUUUGUAUGUGGAAUCUAAGAAAGGCUAACUCAUACAAGUAGAAAGUUGGAUGUUAUGGUUUCCAGGAUGUGGGUGUUGGAGAGAUGGGCAAAGGCAAGACGUUGGUCAAAGAGUACCAAUUUUCUGUUAGGAGGAAUAAGUUUUAGACAUAUUUCACAGCAUGGUGACCAUUGUCACUGACUGUAUAUUUUAAAAUUGUUAUAAGUAGAUAUUAAAGUUGUCACAACAAAAGUAGGUGAAGUUAUGGAUAUGUUAAUGUGCUUGAUUUAGUUAUUACACUAUGUAUACAUACAAAAACAUCAGAUAGUUCCCUGGAAUUAUAUACAAUUAUUACUUGUCAAUUAUAAAAAAAAGCCCUACUGCAACCACUAAAAAGGAUUUUCAUAUAAUAGAGGGAAAAAUCGUUAAAGAUAAUAAUACAUUAUUUUAGAAAAUAUUAACUUAUAAAAAGUAGUAUAGGAGGGAUUCUGUAAAAGAAGAUAGACAUAGAAUUUUAAAAUGUAUAAUGGAAAAUUUAAAUCCAGCUGUACUGAUGGAUCAAGCAAUCCAAACCAGUCUGAUUGACCAAGUGGAUAUUUAAAAAACAAUCAAACUAUAAGGUGUCUGUUGUAGGCAGUUUAUAAAAUACAAAAGUGUUGAAAGAAAUAGGAUGGAAAUAGAAAUAUCCAAGUAGCAACCACAAAAAAACUGGAAUGUCUGCACUAACAUCAUACAAAACAAACCAAAUGAAGGUUAAAAAUAUUGAAAUUAUACAAAAUAUGUUCUAUGACUAAAAUUUAAUGAAAUUAGAAAUAACACAGAGAUAGGAACUAUACAUAUUUGUGCAAAUUUAAAAAGUUAUGCUGAGUGUGGUGGCUCACACCUGUAAUCCCAGCACUUUGGGAGGCCGGGGAGGGUGGAUCACUUGAAGUCAGGAGUUGGAGACCAGCCUGGCCAACAUGGUGAAACCCUGUCUCUACUA